ACAUCCAAGGAAGGCAGCAGGCGCGCAAAUUACCCACUCUCAAAACGAGGAGGUAGUGAAGAGAAAUAACGAUGUUAGUCUUUUAUAGGCUGACAAUCGGAAUGGGAACACUGUAAACAGGUUAUCGAUUAACAAUUGGAGGGCAAGUCUGGUGCCAGCAGCCGCGGUAAUUCCAGCUCCAAUAAGGAAAACUAAAGUUGCUGUGUUUAAAAAGCUCGUAGUUGAAUUUCGGGUAUUUGUUGCUAGCUGGUCUUACUGGCCAUGUUGGUUAACAGAUCCUCAUUUGCUGGACGGCUGGCGAUGAUCUUUAUCGAUUGUCGUCAGUUGCCAGAACGUUUACUUUGAGAAAAUUAGAGUGCUAAAAGCAGGCUCACGCCUAUAUAUAUUGCAUGGAAUAAUGAAAUAAGAUCUCGAUUUUAUUUCGUUGGUUUUAGAAAUUGAGAUAAUGAUUAAUAGGAUCAGAGGGGGGCGUACGUACUGUGGUGUGAGAGGUGAAAUUCUUGGAUCGCCACAGGACGAACAGCAGCGAAGGCGUUCGCCAAGAAUGUUUUCAUUAAUCAAGAACGAAAGUUUGAGGUUCGAAGACGAUUAGAUACCGUCCUAGUUCAAACCAUAAACGUUGCCAACUGUCUUUUAGAUGCGGUUAUUUACAUGACUCAUCUGGCGGAUCUCGAGAAAUCUAAGUUUUUAGGUUCCGGGGGAAGUAUGGUUGCAAAGCUGAAACUUAAAAGAUUGACGGAAGGACACACAAGAAGUGGAGCCUGUGGCCUAAUUUGACUCAACACGGGAAACC
rnacentral:rRNA from 1 species